AUGCAGAGUAGAUUCCUUCUGGAUGUUGUAGUCAGACAGGGUACGGCCAUCUUCCAGCUGCUUGCCAGCAAAAAUAAGCCUCUGCUGGUCAGGAGGGAUGCCUUCCUUAUCCUGGAUCUUGGCCUUGACGUUCUCAAUGGUGUCACUGGGCUCGACCUCAAGGGUGAUGGUCUUGCCCGUCAGGGUCUUGACAAAGAUCUGCAUUCCACCCCGCAGGCGCAGCACCAGGUGCAGAGUGGAUUCUUUCUGGAUGUUGUAGUCAGACAGGGUGAUGGUCUUGCCAGUCAGGGUCUUCACGAAGAUCUGCAUUUUUCCCUGGAAGAAGGAAAACCCGCUGUGCUUUAGUGAUGUUCCUCCUCCUCCUCGUACCCAGGGCCGCGCCCCCGUCCGUGACGUCACAGCGAGGCCCCGACCACACCCACGGAGGGGCGGGGCCUCCACCCGCUUCCCCUUCCCGCCCGAGUCGCGCGCCCGCCACCAUCUUGAAGCACCGCUGCGCCUGCGCCACCGCCAUUUUGCCAGCGGCCCCUCGCCCUGCCCCGCCACCGCCUCGCGGUGCUGCCGUUAAAGAGGGAAGGCAACGUCCCAGCCCUCCCCCCGCCAUCACCGUCCGCCAUCGCCCCCAGCCGCAGCUCCUCAGCGCACACACCCCUCCUUCCCGCCCAGCCCGCGUCUAGGCCCUCUCCCAGCCGAGCUCUCACCGCGGCGCUGCUCGGCCACAGCGACACCACAAACCUCAGCUAGCGCCAACUGCGCCACGCAUCCCCCCGCUCGGUGCUUAUAUGGCGUCCGGCGCCCCGCCCCGCCUUCGAAUCACUCCGCUGCGCACUAUUUCCCUCGCGCCGCGCGCCUCCGAUCUCCUGCGUGGGUGAGAGGGCGGCGCGGAAGGAUCGGCGCCUCGCGCGGGUUCGCUGAGGCUGGCGCGCGCGGGCCGGCGAGCGGCGGGAAAACCCGGCCUGGAGCUUUCGGAGCGGGGCCCCGGCUGGGCCAUGUCAGUGACCCCAAGUCGGAGCCAUAAAAGUUUCUGUCGGAGUCUUUCGUUGUGCUCAGGGGUUUAAACCCCGCAGUUGCGCCCCUGAUUGAAAAACACCUCCUUGGCUUCCACCCCUGGGCCAGGGCGAGGGUCGGCUCUGCCCGCGGCCACACCGUGUGGGGGCUCCUGAGGGAAGGAGUUCGUUGCUUUAUCCCCAGGGACGCCUCGAGUGUUAUUUCUGUGUGAGAGGCCUCUGCUUGUGGGGCAGGGUGGUGUCUGUCACCCACCCGGGCACAACCCCGCUGGGACAGGUUUGUGCCAGAUCUCCGGUGCCAUCGCUCCUGGGGGACAAGGGACAAGGGCAGAGGAGGUGUCCGGCUGCCCCGGUGAUGCUGGGGCACCCGCCGAGCUUGGAGCAGCCCGAAACCACCCCAGGAAAGGGGGGCUGCAGGGGGAUGGAGAUCAGGGAGAGGGGACGUGAGGGACAAAGAAAGGCUGCUGGAUAAAGAGAUCAAGUCUUGCAUGUGAGAUAAUCAAUGAGAGUGUGUAUGUUUGUGUGCACAUAAAGUGCAGUAUGUACCUGAGCUGUAAUGGAAUUUGUAACUCGUUAAAAUUAGAAAUAAUAGUAAUAAUAAUGCCUAUUUCUUAUUCUGUUCUCAAAGAGCACCUUCUCAUAGAUCUCUGCUGCACUCUGAGAGCUCCUGCACCAUCCUACUCAAACUGCACAGCAAUUCCAGGCAGCAGCUGGGAACAGAAUUGAGCUUUGUCUGCAAGAUCCAGGCAGUGCCAUUCGGCUCGAUCUGCCUGCAAAAUCCUUCAUUUGGCAGCACCCAAGAAAAUGGAAAGGACACUAAUAACAGCCAGGGUUGCUCACCAGCAGGAAAGGAGCAGAGGUUCAGCAACAGCUUUGUGUUUUGAGGAAAAGUGUCUAUGUCUGCCUGACACAUGGAGCCCUUACAAGAGGAGAAUGCUCUGGGGAGCUCUUUGGCCUCUGCUGCUUUGUGUCUGUAUUCAUGCUCACCACAGCUGUAGUGAUAAUAAUCUCAAACACUUGGAUCAUUUAGAUGGGGAAAAAAAAGCCACAGAAGUCUUUUGGUUACUUCUCGGUGCUCAGUGGCUGACACUGUGUGCAUUGGGAGUGCAUAAACAUUAAAAACUGGAGAAGCAUUCCAGAUUUAGGCCUUUCCUCAGCAGGAAGUAAAUAAUAAUGUUAAGCUUCUUCUUUUAGUUACAAGGUGAGCACUUAGAAAAUCAUCAGAAAGGCACAUGGGGAGGUAUUUUAUGACAAAAAGUCUGUUACUACAAACUGUGUGUUACUUUCACAUGCAGGGCACAUUCCAGACGUACAGCUGCCAGGGAGAUCCAGGGAGUAAUUUACAACUAGGAAUAUUCACACUUAGCAGUGCUGCAGCCAAACAUUGGCUCAAAAUAACAACUGGAAGUAAGAUGAGUAAAUAAAUAGCAUGGGGAGAUUUUCA
ensembl:lncRNA